rnacentral:misc_RNA from 1 species
GAUGAAGAACGUAGUGAAAUGCGAUAAGUAAUGUGAAUUGCAGAAUUCAGUGAAUCAUCGAAUCUUUGAACGCACAUUGCGCCCGUCAGUAUUCUGGCGGGCAUGCCUGUUCGAGCGUCAUUACGCCCCUCAAGUCCCCUGUGGACUUGGUGUUGGGGAUCGGCGAGGCUGGUUUUCCAGCACAGCCGUCCCUUAAAUUAAUUGGCGGUCUCGCCGUGGCCCUCCUCUGCGCAGUAGUAAAACACUCGCAACAGGAGCCCGGCGCGGUCCACUGCCGUAAAACCCCCCAACUUUUUAUAGUUGACCUCGAAUCAGGUAGGACUACCCGCUGAACUUAAGCAUAUCAUAAGCGGAGGA